UGUCUUGCAGAUGGAGGAUCCA
rnacentral:siRNA from 1 species